UACGUAGGCAGCAAGCGUUGUUCGGCGUUACUGGGCGUACAGGGUGUGUAGGCGGUUGUUUAAGUUUGGUGUGAAAUCUCCCGGCUCAACUGGGAGGGUGCGCCGAAUACUGAAUGACUAGAGUGCGGGAGAGGAAAGUGGAAUUCCUGGUGUAGCGGUGAAAUGCGUAGAUAUCAGGAGGAACACCGGUGGUGUAGACGGCUUUCUGGACCGUAACUGACGCUGAGACACGAAAGCGUGGGUAGCAAACAGG
rnacentral:rRNA from 1 species